GGGGCUGAUUCUGGAUUCGACGGGAUUUGCGAAACCCAAGGUGCAUGCCGAGGGGCGGUUGGCCUCGUAAAAAGCCGCAAAAAAAUAGUCGCAAACGACGAAAACUACGCUUUAGCAGCUUAAUAACCUGCUUAGAGCCCUCUCUCCCUAGCCUCCGCUCUUAGGACGGGGAUCAAGAGAGGUCAAACCCAAAAGAGAUCGCGUGGAGGCCCUGCCUGGGGUUGAAGCGUUAAAACGAAUCAGGCUAGUCUGGUAGUGGCGUGUCCGUCCGCAGGUGCCAGGCGAAUGUAAAGACUGACUAAGCAUGUAGUACCGAGGAUGUAGGAAUUUCGGACGCG
rnacentral:tmRNA from 2 species